UACAGAGGAGCCAAGCGUUGUCCGGAUUGACUGGGCGUAAAGCGCACGCAGGCGGACGCGCGCGUGGGGUGUGAAAUCUGGCCGCUUAACGGCCAGGCGCCAUCCCAUACGGCGGGUCUGGAGUGAUGCAGAGGGCGGUGGAAUUGCCGGUGUAGUGGUGAAAUGCGUAGAGAUCGGCAGGAACACCCAGGGGGAAACCAGCCGCCUGGGCAUCGACUGACGCUGAGGUGCGAGAGCGUGGGGAGCGAUCCGG
rnacentral:rRNA from 1 species